rnacentral:misc_RNA from 1 species
GAAACGCGAAAGGUAAUGCGAAUUGCAGAAUCAGUGAGUCAUCGAAUCUUUGAACGCACAUUGCGCCUCUCGGUAUUCCGGGAGGCACGCCUGUUCGAGCGCCAUUACACACUCCAAGCAGCGGCUUGAUGUUGGGCGACGUCUUUGAUGUGGAACGACCCUUUUUUGGGGUCGGGACGAAGGACGCGCCUGGAACGCGUGGGCGGCGGAGGCCAGACCGCGAGCGUAGCAAGACGAGCUUGUAUGCAGUCACCCGCUCGGACGGCUCUGGUGGACGACCAGUCUGGUUUAGAAAAGACCAAAAAACACACGAGUUUGGCCUCGGAUCAGGCGGGGAUACCCGCUGAACGUAAGCA